rnacentral:lncRNA from 1 species
AAGAAUAGAGGACACGAUCCCAACUGCUGAGGAAAUAGGCAGCUCCAGAGUUUCUAUGUAAAACUAGUUUAUGGGCAACAAUUUGAUUCUAAGACAUGCUACCUUUUUAUAGCAAGCAUACUUUUUAAUUUUUUAAAUUUAGCUUUUAUUUUUUUGGUGAAGCUCUGAAGGAGACAUUAAGACAUUCGUAGAGAUACCACAGACUAACAAGCUAUCCCUAGCCGGAUAGUCCACGUACGUACAGCAUUUAAAACGGAUCAUUUCUGUGUGCUUAGAAUUUAUUUCAAAGGUUAUGCAAAUCUUUUACAAAUAUUGCAUUUAUUCUUUCGAAACUGAAUACAAUGUGGCACUUAAAGUUCUGAUUGGCUAAGCCCUGGUCACGGUACAAGAGCAACCUUCCGGCUGUCUUAGAGACUCACGCAGCGUCCUUAGCAACCAGUCUUGGUCCCUAGCGACCCGGAGCGCCGCGGUGAGUGACUACUACGUCCCGCUUCUGACGGUUUGGGAGGGAAGGUUAUUGCCAUACUCACUAUCUUGGGACACCGAAUCCCCCACAAAUGGGAGUACUGAGCUUCCUUUCUCAGGGUCCCAUAGCUCUGGCUGUUGGAUUAAGCAUCUACAGGCGCCCGGGCCAGGCCCGCCAUCUUGGCUCCCCUGACAACCCCAGUGAUCUAGUCGGGGAAACCUCCUUCCAGGCUGGAAGCAGGCAGGUGGGGCAAUCAGCCACCGGGUCAUUUGAAGGGGAAAUAACUUUUGCAGGGGAGACUAAAGGAGAGUGCGGAUGAACUGCUGAGCAUCCAAACAGCUUACCGGAGCCACGUCAUGAGCUAGAACAUAUCUCUUUAUUGUGUAAAACUUUUUUGUUUUGAUGCCAGCAUAAAUCUUUAGGUUCAAGGUGAGUACCAGGUUUUUACUUAAGUAAUAAUUGCUUUGUUUGAACCCGUUUGAUCUUGGUGAAU